CACAUAAACAAUGAAAUAACUCCCCACCUCUCUCUCUCCUGUCUCUCUAUCCCCUGUCUCUCUCCCUCCUGUCUCUCUCUCCCCUGUCUCUCUCCCUCUCUCUCUCCUGUCUCUCUCCCUCUCUCUCCCCUGUCGCUCUCUCCCCUGUCUCUCUCCCUCUCUCCCUCCUUUCUCUCUCCCCCUGCCUCUCUCUCUCCCCUGUCUCUCUCCCUCCUGUCUCUCUCUCCCUCUCUCUCUCCCUCUCGCUCUCCUGUCUCUCUCUCCCCUGUCUCUCUCCCUCUCUCUCUCCUUUCUCUCUCCCCCUGCCUCUCUCUCUCCCCUGUCUCUCUCUCUCCUGUCUCUCUAUCCCCUGUCUCUCUCCCUCCUGUCUCUCUCUCCCCUGUCUCUCUCCCUCUCUCUCUCCUGUCUCUCUCCCUCUCUCUCUCCUGUCUCUCUCUCCCCUGUCUCUCUCCCUCUCUCCCUCCCUUCUCUCUCCCCCUGCCUCUCUCUCUCCCCUGUCUCUCUCCCUCCUGUCUCUCUCUCCCUCUCUCUCUCCCUCUCUCUCUCCUGUCUCUCUCUCCCCUGUCUCUCUCCCUCUCUCUCUCCUUUCUCUCUCCCCCUGCCUCUCUCUCUCCCCUGUCUCUCUCCCUCCUGUCUCUCUAUCCCCUGUCUCUCUCCCUCCUGUCUCUCUAUCCCCUGUCUCUCUCCCUCUCUCUCCCCUGUCUCUCUCCCUCUCUCUCUCCUGUCUCUCUCUCCCCUGUCUCUCUCCCUCUCUCUCUCCUGUCUCUCUCUCCCUAUCUCUCUCCUGUCUCUCUCUCCCCUGUCUCUCUCCCCCUCUCUCUCCUUUCUCUCUCCCCCUGCCUCUCUCUCUCUCAUGUCGCUCUCUCCCCCUCUCUCUCCUGUCUCUCUCCCCCUGCCUCUCUCUCCAUUUCCUAUAUUUCUCUCUUCCUCUCUCCCUCUCUCUCCUGCCCCCCCCCCUCUCUUUCUCCCCCUCUGUCCCUGACCUGCAGUCUGGGAGGAUUCCCUGUCUCUCUCUCUCUCCCCCUGUCUCUCUCCCUCCUGUCUCUCUCCCCUGUCUCUCUCCCUCCUGUCUCUCUCUCCCCUGUCUCUCCUGUCCCUGACCUGCCGUCUCUCUCCAGUACUGUGUUUCCUACUGUAUAA
rnacentral:lncRNA from 1 species